CCGUUUGGCCCCUAGGCAAUGUGGUGUUCAGGUCAGCUCGCGGGGAUACUGCUCCACCCUAAGUCCUAUAAUGAGUAAGGUUACUCGGACGUGGCCCACAGAGGGUGAAAGGCCCGUGGGGGUGGAGACUCAGUUUGGCCAGUAUCUUCCUGAGCAGACCUUGGAGUCGGGUUGUUUGUGAAUGCAGCCCAAAGUGGGUGGUAAACUCCAUCCAAGGCUAAAUACUUGCACGAGUCCGAUAGCGAACAAGUACCGUGAGGGAAAGUUGAAAAGUACUUUGAAGAGAGAGUAAACAGUGCGUGAAACCGCUCAGAGGUAAACGGGUGGAGUUGAACUGCAAGCUCCGAGGAUUCAGCUGGUGAGAUUGGCAUGAGCUUGGUCAUGUGGGUUGUAUGUUCGGGUCUGCUUAGCUGCAGGUCCUCGCCUUUGGUGGGGAUGCGCGUAUCGCUUAUCAAGCGUUGUGCGCCCGGGCUUCUCGAGCCUUCUCGCUAGUGCACUUUCUCGGAGUGUUCACCACGACCGGCGUUGCUGUCUGGCUGGUGCGGUUAAACCGGUCUUGUAGGGUCCUCGUGGCCUUGCUUGGUCGGGAUGGCAGGUAGCCCGUUGUGUACUUCGGUGUGCUUCGGGUGUAAUAGCCGACUGCAUCGGUUCUGUGCGGUACGUCGGAGACGGCGGCUUGUUGUGCGUGCGGGCGUGCCUGUUGCGCUGGCGGCUCUGAGUCUGGUUGCCUUGUUGCUUGUAAAUGCAGGCCUGGUGAUGGCUCGGGGUCGUUUGGUGUGCGGUUGCGUUCGUGGCACUUUAAAGGGCCUAAAGUCUGUGGUGUAGUGGUAGACUAUCCACCUGACCCGUCUUGAAACACGGACCAAGGAGAGUAACAUGUGCGCGAGUCAUUGGGCGUUACGAAACCCAAAGGCGAAGUGAAAGUAAAGGUUCGGCUUGUCCGGACUGAGGUGAGAUCCUGUCGUUUCUCACGCCUGGUACUACCAAGCAUCGAGCGGCGGGCGCAUCACCGGCCCGUCCCAUGGCGUAGUGGCGGCCUCGUGCCUGCUCAUCGUCGGGGCGGAGCAUGAGCGUACAUGUUGAGACCCGAAAGAUGGUGAACUAUGCUUGCGCAGGUUGAAGCCAGAGGAAACUCUGGUGGAGGACCGCAGCGAUUCUGACGUGCAAAUCGAUCGUCAAACGUGAGUAUA
rnacentral:rRNA from 1 species